UACGGAGGGUGCAAGCGUUAUCCGGAUUCACUGGGUUUAAAGGGUGCGUAGGUGGGCAGGUAAGUCAGUGGUGAAAUCUUUGGGCUUAACCCGAAAACUGCCAUUGAUACUAUCUGUCUUGAAUGUUGUGGAGGUGAGCGGAAUAUGUCAUGUAGCGGUGAAAUGCUUAGAUAUGACAUAGAACACCAAUUGCGAAGGCAGCUA
rnacentral:rRNA from 1 species